GAUGAACGCUGGCGGCGUGCCUAAUACAUGCAAGUCGAGCGAACAGACGAGGAGCUUGCUCCUCCGACGUUAGCGGCGGACGGGUGAGUAACACGUGGAUAACCUACCUAUAAGACUGGGAUAACUUCGGGAAACCGGAGCUAAUACCGGAUAAUAUAUUGAACCGCAUGGUUCAAUAGUGAAAGACGGUUUUGCUGUCACUUAUAGAUGGUUCCGCGCCGCAUUAGCUAGUUGGUAAGGUAACGGCUUACCAAGGCGACGAUGCGUAGCCGACCUGAGAGGGUGAUCGGCCACACUGGAACUGAGACACGGUCCAGACUCCUACGGGAGGCAGCAGUAGGGAAUCUUGCGCAAUGGGCGAAAGCCUGACGGAGCAACGCCGCGUGAGUGAUGAAGGUCUUCGGAUCGUAAAACUCUGUUAUUAGGGAAGAAAAAAUGUGUAAGUAAAUAUGCACGUCUUGACGGUACCUAAUCAGAAAGCAACGGCUAACUACGUG
rnacentral:rRNA from 1 species